AAUCGAAAUCGAACUCAGUCCGAAUCUGAAUCGGAAUCCGAAGAGAAGCAAUACCCUAAUUUCGGAGUGGGACAGGCCGCUUUGAGAACAGUUUCAUUUCGAUUUACGGAAUUUAAUAAUUUAUAAUGAAUAAAUAUAAGAUUGGUAAUACGUUUAUUGGAAUUUAUUUGUAACUUGCUCGAGGUUUAAAGAAAACCAUUAAAUCUUUGAAGUUGCAAAAUAUAUAAGAAUUAUAGCUUAAUAUAUGGAUCCUUGCAUGUGGGAGCAGCCAACUACUACUCAUUGAAGGGUAUUUCCAAUUCGACGCCCCUGCGAGAUUCUGACUCUCUGCUGUGCGACAAUAUUUGGUUCGAGCGACAAGUUGACUGAAGGUUAGACCCGAUCCGAACCGAUCGGAUUGGAAUGUUGGCCCGUCUCGAAAGCGUUGGCGGUUAGACAAAGCCAGCUAGAGGCGGUGGGAGCGAGAGGGGCACAGUCGCACACACCUACUCGCAAAUGAGAAUGCUAGUUUAUCGGUGUUGGUUUUGCGAGUGUCUCAUGAUAUUUCGCAGAAUCGCGGGAAUCGAGAAACUCCCCAAAACACAAAUAAACUCUUCCGGUGGACAGUGGGCAAAAUAAAUAAAUAAACUGCAGGGGAUGUGGGGAGGUUGAGUGGGGAUUGUAUGGAACGAAGCGGAACUAGGAAAUGUUAUUGUUAUUGGCACGCGCGACUUGAUCUGGAAAACUAAACUACUGUGCACGAUAAAAAUUGAGUGAUCGGUAUUGAUUUCAAAACAGCCUAUAUUUCCGAAAAUUAUGGUUAUUCGAAUUGUAAUGAAAUGCAUGUAAAGUGAAAGUUUUACUUAUGUACCUUACCCACAACUAUGUGAAUAAUACAUAUAUUACUUACCCAAAGCAAAUUUCAAGAACACCUUUCCAAACUCCCUUUACGCACAAUACGACCUACAAAGUAUCUGAUUUUGUUUGUAAUUUUUUGGAAUUUUAUUCUUUUUUAUUGCUUUUUACUCUUUGCCCUCGAUUUGUGUGUGUUUGUUGUGUGAGCUUCAAAAGAAUGUUCGAACGAAAGGAGAGAGAGAGAGAGAGAGCAGCGGGCGUGAAGGAUACGGGCGACAUAGCAAGCGAAAGGACGAGGAUACGGAUAUCCCAUGCACUUAUCACCGUGCCAUUGCGCUCCAAUCCACUCCAGGCCAUUCCAUUCCGAUCCGAUUCGCGUCGAGGGUUUGACAAUUUGGAAGCACUUAAAACUAAAUCUCUACAGAAUGUGCAAUCAAUCUUUUACAGUAUUUCUUUAAUAAUUUUAUGUAUUUUUCGUGAUUUGUGUGUUGGAUGCGUGGGUGUGUUCUUUGUGUAUCUUAUGCCUAAGCAGGACAAUUGAAUGUAACGAAUUGAAAUUUUAUUUAUUUAAGAACUAAGCGAAUACAAUUUAAAAAACACACAAAAAAAAUCUAAGGAGUAAGUUUAUGUUUAUGCACGGGGGUCCAAUACGCGGACGCAUAUGCUCAUUAAGGUAUGUUUAAGGUGAUGCUUUUUAGAGAGUUCUGGAGUCUGGGUGUUUGAAAGGUGGCAUGUAUGAGGCGAUAAUGUUAUCCUUGUUUUGUUUAAUCUAAUUACAUAAAUUAUGCUAGGAUAGCCCAUGAGCGUUAAGAAAAGAGAACUACAUAAAUUACUUGGGUGAUGGUUGCAAUCCCCAUUUCUCUUGGUUGCUUUUUGUUGGUUUGUGUUUUCUAUAUUCUAGACUCAGUUGAAAGCGGCGUGCCACCAAAAAUGUUGGUUAAAAUAAUCGUAUAUG
rnacentral:sRNA from 1 species